ACAUUAGAAAUAUAUAUAAUAUAUAUAUAUGUAUAAUAAAAGAAUCAGAUCCCAAAAAUCAAAAUUUUAAUAUCCGAUACAUCCAACAAAAGUCCAACAAAAUUUAAUUCAUCCUACGUUCUAAGCAAAUCGGGUACUUCAGCGCGGGCAGCCACGAACUUGAACCGAGUAUACCUACACCAAAUUAAACGAACAAGUGAACAAAUACUCAAACAAUUAAUUUAAUAAAAAAAUAAAAUAAACAAAAGAAAAAAAAACGGAUAUGGCAGAUCCUAAGGGAUUGAUCUUUUCAGACAAAACAUUAAAUGCUGCAUUAAUAGAUUGCAGUAGAAGCCAUCAUUCUCUAACAGAAUAUUUCAAGAUACGCCACUUGCCAUCUUUUUCGGUACAUGUACAUUUAUACAAAUCAUUUUUCCCUCACCUAUCGUCCCCUGCAAGCAAGAAAACCAACACUUAUUCUUUUCAAGUUCAAUUCAAGAAACGAAUCUGCAAGUCCAAAGAAUUACUCCUUUUGCACCCCAAAAUUCAGAUCGACAGAAGGGUACCUUCGCAAGUAAAGUUGGAGCGAGAAUUUCAAGUUAAAGGAACUAAAUGAUCCAGGUUGAGCAGCGAAGUGGUGGAGGAAGUGCUAUUGAGACAAGACAUCUAAUUCAGUCAG